UGGCUAACUCCUACGGGAGGCAGCAGUGGGGAAUCUUGCGCAAUGCGCGAAAGCGUGACGCAGCAAUGCCGCGUGGGGGAAGAAGGCCUUCGGGUUGUAAACCCCUUUCAGUUGGGACGAAGCUCUGGCGGUGAAUAGCCGUUUGGAGUGACGGUACCUUCAGAAGAAGCCCCGGCUAACUACGUGCCAGCAGCCGCGGUAAUACGUAGGGGGCAAGCGUUGUCCGGAAUCAUUGGGCGUAAAGAGCGUGUAGGCGGCUUGGUAAGUCCGCUGUGAAAGUCCAGGGCUCAACCCUGGAAAGCCGGUGGAAACUGUCAAGCUUGAGUCCGGAAGAGGCGAGUGGAAUUCCUGGUGUAGCGGUGAAAUGCGCAGAUAUCAGGAGGAACACCAAUGGCGAAGGCAGCUCGCUGGGACGGUACUGACGCUGAGACGCGAAAGCGUGGGGAGCAAACAUGAUUAGAAACCCCUGUAGUCCAGCUGG
rnacentral:rRNA from 1 species